AAUCUGAUCAGUACAUAUGCAUGAGGGAAACGUCCCUGCAGAAUAGUGUUGUUAUAAUCGAUAUGAGUAUGCCAAAUCAACCUCUGAGGAGACCUAUUACUGCAAACUCUGCACUGAUGAAUCUGAAUUCUAAAAUUCUUGCAUUGAAAGGUUGUAUUUUGGAAAUGGAUUACCCCAAAGUUGUUGGGUCUGGUUACACAGACCUCAGUAUAUCAUUGGUCAAUUGAAGGUGAGACUGAACCUGUGAAGAUCUUCGAAAGAACUACUAAUCUGGCAAACAAUCAGAUAAUAAACUAUCGAUGUGACCCUUCUGAAAAGUGGUUGGUUUUGAUUGGAAUUGCCACUGGUGCUCCUGAGAGGCAAAAUCUGGUCAAAGGGAAUAUGCAACUCUUUUCAGUGGAACAACAGAGAAGUCAAGCUCUGGAAGCUCAUGCUGCUGCUUUUGCACAAUUUAAAGUUCCAGGGAAUGAGAAUCCUUCUACUCUCAUUUCCUUUGCAACAAAGACUUUUAAUGCUAGCCAAAUUACAUCAAAGCUGCAUGUUAUAGAUCUUGGUGCC